rnacentral:rRNA from 1 species
GAUGAACGCUGGCGGCGUGCCUAAUACAUGCAAGUCGAGCGAACCGACGGGGAGCUUGCUCCUCUGACGUUAGCGGCGGACGGGUGAGUAACACGUGGUUAACCUAACUCUAAGACUGGGAUAACUUCGGGAAACCGGAGCUAAUACCGGAUAAUAUAUUGAACCGCAUGGUUCACUCGUGGAAGACGGUUUUGCUGUCACUUAUAGAUUGAUCCGCGUCGCAUUCGUUAGUUGGUAAGGUAACGGCUUACCAAGGCAACGAUGCGUAGCCGACCUGGGAGGGUGAUCCGCCACACUGGAACUGAGACACGGUCCAGACUCCUACGGGAGGCAGCAGUAGGGAAUCUUCCGCAAUGGGCGAAAGCCUGACGGAGCAACGCCGCGUGAGUGAUGAAGGUCUUCGGAUCGUAAAACUCUGUUAUUAGGGAAGAACAAAUGUGUAAGUAACUAUGCACGUCUUGACGGUACCUAAUCAGAAAGCCACGGCUAACUACGUG